rnacentral:lncRNA from 1 species
GUUUCUGAUAUAAUCUCUAUAAACACGUGCUAUUUCACUUAAUAACUUUUACUACAAAUAUUUGGGUAUAUUUUUAGUGGUUGUCUCUGUCAGGUAAAAUAGCUGAAAACCAAGACCAGACCAGAACCACUACACGCUUUUAUCUGCUGUAGGGACGAUCUGCCAGACUGUCUCCGAUCAAAGGAAAGAGCAACAUGGCAGAAGGAGAGCUUCAUUUAUAGGACUGGGGUGGAGUUAAGUAAGGUCGUAUUAGAGAUUGGAAGAGCCUGUGACAUCAGUAGGAGCCGCUUGUGACAUCACUGGUUACUUCUUGGAGGAAGAAGAGGCAUCAUGGGAAGAAGAAGGCUGCCCUUUGGUAGGUGGGAGAAGCCAUCUUUUUAGGAAAACGGCCCAGAAGUGGAGAAACAGUUUGGUGAACUUUGAUGGCCCAGUCAGCAGUCCCAGCAUACUGACAAGAGUACCCGAAAACUUAGAAAGUAAUAUAAAGACUACCUGGAAAUGUUCAAUGAAGCAUUCUGAUGUAUACCUACGUCUCCCUCCAACUUUCUGA